rnacentral:rRNA from 1 species
GCUUAACACAUGCAAGUCGAACGGUAACAGGAGAAAGCUUGCUUUCUUGCUGACGAGUGGCGGACGGGUGAGUAAUGCUUGGGAAUCUGGCUUAUGGAGGGGGAUAACGACGGGAAACUGUCGCUAAUACCGCGUAGAGUCGGGAGACGAAAGUGCGGGACCGCAAGGCCGCAUGCCAUGAGAUGAGCCCAAGUGGGAUUAGGUAGUUGGUGGGGUAAAGGCCUACCAAGCCGACGAUCUCUAGCUGGUCUGAGAGGAUGACCAGCCACACCGGGACUGAGACACGGCCCGGACUCCUACGGGAGGCAGCAGUGGGGAAUAUUGCGCAAUGGGGGCAACCCUGACGCAGCCAUGCCGCGUGAAUGAAGAAGGCCUUCGGGUUGUAAAGUUCUUUCGGUGACGAGGAAGGCGUGAUGUUUAAUAGGCAUCACGAUUGACGUUAAUCACAGAAGAAGCACCGGCUAACUCCGUGCCAGCAGCCGCGGUAAUACGGAGGGUGCGAGCGUUAAUCGGAAUAACUGGGCGUAAAGGGCACGCAGGCGGCUAUUUAAGUGAGGUGUGAAAUCCCCGGGCUUAACCUGGGAAUUGCAUUUCAGACUGGGUAGCUAGAGUACUUUAGGGAGGGGUAGAAUUCCACGUGUAGCGGUGAAAUGCGUAGAGAUGUGGAGGAAUACCGAAGGCGAAGGCAGCCCCUUGGGAAUGUACUGACGCUCAUGUGCGAAAGCGUGGGGAGCAAACAGGAUUAGAUACCCUGGUAGUCCACGCUGUAAACGCUGUCGAUUUGGGGAUUGGGCUUUAAGCUUGGUGCCCGUAGCUAACGUGAUAAAUCGACCG